UGGCACGGCCCGCGGUGGCUGGCACCGUCCCCUCCGCGCCGGGGCCCGGGCUAGUGAGACGGCCUCCCGGCUCCACCUGGCUUCCCUGAAGCUGCUUCUCCCUCUUGCGGUCGCUGGCGAGGCGGAGUCAUGUUCCCACACACAGAACGGGUUCAGAGUGUACUAGAUUGGAUGCAGCUGAAAGAGCUAAAAGAAACUGAAGCCUGGAGAGGUGACAAGCACUUAUCAUUUAUUGAAAAGAUCUGACUUCCAAAGCAAGGGAGACAGAAGCAAAAUUAACCAAAUGGGACUACAUCAAACUAAAAAGCUUCUGCACAGUGAAGGAAACCAUCAACAAAAUGAAAAGGCAACCUACUGAAUGGGAGAAGAUAUUUGUAAGUCAUAUAUCCAAUAAAGGGUUAAUAUCCAAAAUAUAUAACAACAAAAAACCCCACAAACAAUCUGAUUAAAAAAUGG